AUUGUUGUUGCUUGAGUAUCGAAGGAAUCAGAACACCGCUGAAGCCAGGGAAAACGAAAGAAAAAGAAAAAUACGUAUUUUGAUGUCACUUCGAUGAUCAUUCCUUUCUAUAUGAAAAUGGGUGAGUGAAAAGGUAAGAGCUUUAUUAUGAAAUUGUGAAAUUGAUCUGUUAGAGGUAGGUUAUGUUAUUUUCUGUUAGGAGAGUGUCUUUGCAGGUACAUCAACAUUCCUAUUCUUGUCAGUAAGAUAUUAAUUUCUUUUUGCCUCUUUUGAUUUAGUUUUUACUUUUUAUAGUAUGAAAAAAUGGUAAGGAAAAGGGUAAGAAUUUUUUAUUGCUAUUUUGUUAUUAUUAUGAAUUGUGAUGUUUUGAGGUAGGUAAGGUUGGUUUGCUAUAUUCAUUACAUUAACCAUCAUUAGUAGUGCUAAAGCAAUGACAUCUGUAAAAUGCUCACACAAGAGUGGAAACUAUCCUCUGUCUUAUUGGGAGCUCAAUCUCGUCUGCGACCACAACAUUUGAAAUUGGCAGGUUACUAUGCUUAUUGAAGGUUCCUUUCAACUAUACUGAUCAAGUAUAACUCAUUUGGUACAAAAUUGUUUGGCAUAAUACUCAUCCAUCACUUUACAAUAUAAUGAGUGUGAUAAGUUUUAAGAUGGUCUCUUUGCCACUUUAUUCAUCACUUGGAUUAUUGUGUAAGUUAGUUAGCUUUCCGUUAAGUUUUCCUAAAUUGCAUUUUUCUUACCUGAUUGCUUCCAAAUAAUUGAUUGCUAAUUAUGCAUUUUUGCUGCUUUUUUUUUAACCUUUAACUUGUUACUUGAUGCAUUAUAUUCAACCAUCACUGUGUCAUUUGUUAGACACAUAAUUCAAUGUGCAAACGUGAUAAGUGAUAACAAUGUCAAAGCUUUGUGCUGCCAAAGACAGGUUUGUAUGGUUAUUGAGCAAGCUUAUGUAACCCUUUACUAUGUGUCCUGCUCUUUUCUUUGAUAAUUAUGCAUUACACAACUUCCUUAUCCUAUCACUAGGUUUUUGGAUGAACCAUUUUGAUUUUCAUCAUAAGAUUCAUUGCUCUUAUGGCGAAUCAACAUUGAAUUUAUAUAUAACCUUUCAUAAAUAAAUAUAAUUUCUGGUCCAACCAAACAUUCAAUGAAUAAGGUAUUGUCACAGUAGUAACUAAAAGGAAUGAUAAGUAUGAUUAUUAAUUAAUUUGUAGAAUCACUAUGUACUCGAAAAUUUCCAUCUUUCUCUGUGAAUUUGCAUAUCUUACUAGGUAUUGCUGAAUUCAAGAAGAAGAGUGGAGGUCUUCGAGUGAGACUUGCUAGACAAGCAAACACCGCUAUGCUCGGAAAACUGGCUUGGGUACAGAAGAUUCAUAUGUUGCUAAUCGGAAUUUCAUCAACGCUGCUCGAUCAAUAACAAACUCACAACAGAUUGCUAUGUUUGGAAAGGUAGCCUUGAAAGCUAGAUUUGACUUCAAGUAGAUUUUAAUUUUGCUUAGGGUUUUGAUUUUCUGAUUCAGUGUUUUACAUUAAUGUUUAGGAUCUGAUUUUCUGAUUCCGUGUUGAGUAUGUUUAGGAUAUGAUAUUUCUGAUUGUAAUUCUUUUCACAUUUAUGCGUUUUGAUUUGAUUGUUCGUGCCGCUCGAACGAGACCAAAUAUGUUGGUGCAGGUUGGACUUGAACAUAGACACAUGCUGCCUGUUGCAAAACUGAUAGAAAUAGUCAGCAGAAGAAGCCUUGGACAUGAUAGAAUGGUAUCAAU
rnacentral:lncRNA from 1 species